CCCAAUCCCAUGGAAUAGUGCAGGGUCUAGGGACCCGGGAAGAGAAGUGGCCAGAGGUGCUGGGGUCAAGGCUGAGGAGGGGCCAGCUCACGGGACCGGACAAGCCACGUGCAGGAACCAAUUGGAGAAAGAUCGGCUGGGAGCAGCCAGGGCAGCUGGCGUGCAGGAAGCCGUCUACAUUUGCUUGCUGACCUAAAUAAUACCCAGGAGAAGAGUCCAAGCCCAGAAGCCCUUCAAUGUCUUAGGGCUGCACAGCUGACUGGCAGCUUCAGGCCCGUGCCGCAUCCUGUUUUGAAGAAGAGAGGCUGGAAGAAAUGUGAAAUGGAAGCAGGCUCAUCUGGGGAAUCAAAUCUAAUUUCUCAAAUCCGGGAAAACCAGGAUCGAAAUCAAUUUCAUCAACAUCCGUGGUUAGUUUGCAGCCGCUAGUGGCUCCUGACCGGUGUUUGCAUUCAUGACACAGCCACAAUCUGCAGAAUUGGUCUCUAAUCAAUAGCUCACAGUCGUUCUAGAAGACCGUCUCCCGCUCAAGCUUACAAGUAAAGGCUGUGUACUGCUGAGUGUGCUUUCCCUGUCAGUGGACAUCACAGAUAAAGGCUUUCUCUCUUUGUU